AUAUCUGUUAAACCCAGAUUACUUUGAACCAAAACGCUAGUAAUUAAUCACAUUCAAUAAUACAUUAUUAAUUCUAAACCAACUAAAACAUUUAUAAUCUUAGUAUCCGUGACAGAACAGAAUCAAUUAACAAUAGAAAAAGUACCGUAAGGGAAAGCUGAAAAAGAAAUUAAAAAACCCAUUAAAGUACAAAAUAGCAGGAAUUAACUUCCGUACCUUUAGCAUCAUGAUCUAGCCAGUUAACUGGAGCAAAAAGACUUAAAGUUCCCCCUCCCGAAACUAAGCGAGCUAUUUAAUAGCAGCUAACCGAGCUAAUCCGUCUCUGUAGCAAAAGAGUGGAAAGACUACUAAAUAGAGGUGACACGCCUAUCGAGCCUAGUAAUAGCUGGUUGCUUAAUAAACGAGUAUAAGCUCUACCAUAAAUCUUAUUAUAGUAAAACAACAAUAAUAAAAACUUAAGAGUUAUUCAUAAGAGGUACAGCCCUUAUGAAAAAGGACACAACCUACAACCAUGGGUAAUGAUUAUAUACAAUAAGACCCUAAAACCCAGUAGACUUAAAAGCAGCCAUCUAUUUUGAAAGCGUCACAGCUCAUUAACCUUAUUUAAUCAUCAACCCCAAUAAUUUUAUCAAAACCCAUUAAAAAUUUUAAGCCUACCAAUAUAUUUAUAAUUGCGAUAAUGCUAGAACUAGUAAUAAGAAAAUAUAAUUUUCUCUUCUGCUUAAAUGUAAACUAGAUCGGACACCCCACUAGUAAACAACAAAAUAAAUUUAACAUUAUAAACUAGACUUGAAUUAAAAUAUUUA
rnacentral:rRNA from 1 species